rnacentral:snoRNA from 1 species
CUCACACCCGAACCAAGAGCUGCAGUUUCUUGUAACAGCGGCUCAAACAGCGGUGUGGAUAGCAAGCGAAUCUUGUCGCCUUUGGGGGCUGUGCCAUGCCUCUCAGAGUGAAUAUGGAGGUUCUAUGCCC